rnacentral:rRNA from 1 species
GAUGAACGCUGGCGGCGUGCCUAAUACAUGCAAGUCGAGCGAACAGACGAGGAGCUUGCUCCUCUGACGUUAGCGGCGGACGGGUGAGUAACACGUGGAUAACCUACCUAUAAGACUGGGAUAACUUCGGGAAACCGGAGCUAAUACCGGAUAAUAUAUUGAACCGCAUGGUUCAAUAGUGAAAGACGGUUUUGCUGUCACUUAUAGAUGGAUCCGCGCCGCAUUAGCUAGUUGGUAAGGUAACGGCUUACCAAGGCGACGAUGCGUAGCCGACCUGAGAGGGUGAUAGGCCACACUGGAACUGAGACACGGUCCAGACGCCUACGGGAGGCAGCAGUAGGGAAUCUUACGCAAUGGGCGAAAGCAUGACGGAGCAACGCCGCGUGAGUGAUGAAGGUCUUCGGAUCGUAAAACUCUGUUAUUAGGGAAGAACAAAUGUGUAAGUAACUAUGCACGUCUUGACGGUACCUAAUCAGAAAGCCACGGCUAACUACGUG